GACCCUUGAUUCAAGGUAAACUUUUCCCUACAAUUUGCAUUCACAAUUCAAGGUUGCAAAUAUUAGGAACAUUGUGGCUGGAUUCAAGGACAACAAAAUACUGCCCUUUUUGAGUUCAUAGAUUCCGCCCUGAAACAGAGUCAACAAAACAACAGCGCGAAUUCCCAUGAUGCAGUUCGACCAAGCGACGCCAGCCAGACGCCAGGAUCCACCCCUAAACAAUCCUAACCUCUUUGUCUUUGUGUGUCUUGUCAGUUUGUCUUUUUGCGACGUUUGUUUCUCGCGUUAUUACUAUAUCAGAGUUUUUAGACAUAAAGUAUUCAUAUUGAAGUUAGUUUUUGUCAAUUUUCAAUUUCUUUGUUCAUAGUUAAUUCCAUAGUGUUCGAUUUUAGAAGACUAACUGCAACAAAAGUGCUUGUGAGCCAACGAAACAUAAAGUAGAACCUCGAUAGUUCGACACAGGCCGUGAUGACAAGACAUGGCAUCAGUGGCCGAUGACGGGUUCACCAAGGUUAAAAACUAGAGCAUUCUUAGUGUUUUCGUGCAUGGAAAAACUCAAUAGGAAAAGAGGAGUUAUUGGUGCACAGAAUAGGAACAUCAGGCUGAGGCUAUGCG